rnacentral:rRNA from 1 species
CCCUUAUAUGUUCUGGGCCGCACACGCGCUACACUGAAGGAGGCAGCGUGUACUCCUGGAUCGAAAGAUUUGGGUAACCCGCGAAUCUCCUUCGUGCUAGGGAUUGAGGUUUGCAAUUAUCCUUCAUGAACGAGGAAUUCCCAGUAAGUGCAAGUCAUAAGCUUGCGCUGACUACGUCCCUGCCCUUUGUACACACCGCCCGUCGCUACUACCGAUUGAAUGAUUUAGUGAGGACUUCGGACUGGGACCGAUGCGGCUUUCGGGCUGCGUCGGUAUUCUGGAAAGAUGUCCAAACUGUAUCAUUUAGAGGAAGUAAAAGUCGUAACA